rnacentral:rRNA from 1 species
CCUACGGGAGGCAGCAGUGAGGAAUAUUGGUCAAUGGCCGCAGGGCUGAACCAGCCAAGUAGCGUGAAGGAUGACUGCCCUACGGGUUGUAAACUUCUUUUAUAAAGGAAUAAAGUGAGGCACGUGUGCCUUUUUGUAUGUACUUUAUGAAUAAGGAUCGGCUAACUCCGUGCCAGCAGCCGCGGUAAUACGGAGGAUCCGAGCGUUAUCCGGAUUUAUUGGGUUUAAAGGGAGCGUAGACGGGUUGUUAAGUCAGUUGUGAAAGUUUGCGGCUCAACCGUAAAAUUGCAAUUGAUACUGGCAGUCUUGAGUACAGUUGAGGUAGGCGGAAUGCGUGGUGUAGCGGUGAAAUGCUUAGAUAUAACGAAGAACUCCGAUUGCGAAGGCAGCUUACUAAACUGCCACUGACAUUGAUGCUCGAAAGUGUGGGUAUCAAACAGGAUUAGAUACCCUAGUAGUC